GACGAACGCUGGCGGCGUGCUUAACACAUGCAAGUCGAGCGGAGCGGCGAACGGGUGAGUAACGCGUGAGUAACUGUCCCCCUCUCUGGGAUAACAGUUGGAAACGGCUGCUAAUACCGGCUAGUGGGGGAUGACUCGCGGCCUAUCAGCUUGUGGGUGGGGUAGUGGCCUACCAAGGCGACGACGGGUAGCCGGCCUGAGAGGGCGACCGGCCAAAGUGGGAUGGGAUACGGCCCCAACUCCUACGGGAGGCAGGAGUGGGGAAUAUUGAACAAUGGGGGAAACCCUGAUGCAGCAACGCGCGUGAGUGAAGAAGGGUUUCGGAUCGUAAAGCUCUGUUGUUAAGGGAGAAUGGAAAGUUCAUGCUGUGACGGUACUUAACCAGAAAGGGACGGCUAACUACGUGCCAGCAGCCGCGGUAAUAC
rnacentral:rRNA from 1 species